GCAAUGUGCCUAGUGGUUAGAGCGUCCGCUUUGGAUGCGGGAUGUCGCUGGUUCGAACCCCAGCUGAAUCA